UAUCUUAUCUGCACAGAUUACUAAUCAGCUAGAGCAAAGAUGUUACAGGGAUUCUUGGAAUGAGAACUUUUUAUCUGUAAAAGUUAUGGCCUGCAUCUAUAAGAAAUUCUUAUCGUCAUGUAAGGAGCAGAAGCAUAAUGAAAGAUUUAAUAUCCUUGUUAUAAGAGGGCAAGAAGAUUGAUAGCAAGCUCAUGUGGGAAACUAACUAUGCUGAAGAUAUGUUCUUGUCACCUAUGAUAAUGUUUAUUAUAUGGUUUUUUGUGCUGAUUUAGCGGACACCUGGUGCACGUAUUAGUGUAUUGCUGGAAUGCAAGCUCUCGCAAACAUGAUUAUUUCCGUGACUUUGGAGAACUACCUCGAUCUUCAAAUGAAACCAGGAGAUGGUAAGGAAGCGAGGCAACAUUCUCAAUCUCAGGACCAAUGGGUGCAAGGGGUGCGUAAAGAAGAAUCUCAUGGCUCAUCUUUUCCAGAUAUGAGUACGAGGGUUUCCUCUCGCCAGAACCUUGUGACUAAUCCUGAUUUGUAUUCAACAACCCAGGUUGGCUAAGGAAGCUACAACAGUGAGGUGUGUACUUGAACCCCUUUUCCAUCAUUUUGAUGUAGAAAAUCAUUGGUCAUCAGAUACAGGAGUUGCUUGUUUUGUUAUAUUGUACCUGCAGUCGCUUUUGGAGGAAUCAGGAGGAAACUCUCACCUGUUGCUAUCUAUCUUGAUCAAGCACUUGGAUCAUAAGAAUGUUGCCAAACAACAUUUGUACAGAUUCAUAUUGUUGACUUUGCCACACAACUCACGCAAAAUGCAAAGCUGCAGGCCUCUGUUGCUAUCAUUGGUGCAAUAACCAACUUGAUUAAACAGUUACAAAUAUGCCUGCAAAAUGCAGCUGAAUUAUCUAAUGCUGUGGAUGAUAUGGCUAAAUGGAAUGCUGGUCUUCAAUAUGCCGUAUAAAAUUGCAUUUCAGAGCUGUCAAAGAAGGACCCAUUCUUGAUAUGAUGUCUGGUUUGCUAGAGAAUAUUUCAAAUAAUACUGUUAUUGCUAGAACAACAAUCUCAGCUGUUCAUAGGACUGCCCAGAUUGUCUCUUCCAUCCCGAACAUAUCAUAUUACAAG